rnacentral:tRNA from 8 species
CGGGGCGUAGCUCAGCGUAGAGCGUCGUGCGCACAGGCGCGAAGGUCCGUCGGUUCGAUUCCGACCGCCCCGACCA